GAUUUGGUAGUCUAGAGGCUUAGACGCUAGGUUGUGGCCCUAGUUUAAGCGGGUUGGAAUCCCGUUCUACA
rnacentral:tRNA from 1 species